AACUCUCGAGCAGAGAGACUGCACCAGUUAGAUCACCAUGCUCAGCAGCGGCUCUUGCCUCAGCCAUUGCCUCUGCAGCACGGAGCCUGUUUCGCUGCCUGUCUACCUCCAUUGACACUAUUGGUUGUCCUAUUACUGUUGCCCUCUGGAUCUUUACUUCAUUGUCUUCUUCCAAUGACACCAUUUCUUUUGAUAAGGGGUCUCCGUAAAUACAUCUAACCUUCAGCAAUGACAUCUCAUCACAGGAUUCAUCAACUGGAACAUUGACCGUCACCAAAAAGUCUCUUUCUUCUUCAGCAUACAAGUCUCCUACAUCAAUAGAACCUGCUUUAGCAUCA
rnacentral:lncRNA from 1 species